rnacentral:SRP_RNA from 1 species
GCUGGGCAUGGUGGCGCGUACCUGUAAUCACAGCUACUCGGGAGGCUGAGGCAGGAGAAUUGCCUGAACCCAGGGGGCGGAAGUUGCCAUGAGCUGAGACGCGCCAUUGCACUCCAGCCUGGGUAACAAGAGCGAAACUCCGUCUCAAAAAAAAAGAAUUUUGCAAGGCUGGAUGUGGAGGCUUCUUUUUUUUUUUGAGACGGAGUUUCGCUCUUGUUACCCAGGUUGGAGUGCAAUGGCGUGAUCUCGGCUCACCGCAACCUCCGCCUCUGGGUUCAGGCAAUUCUCCUGCCUCAG